GACAGAGGUGCCAAGCGUUAGGCGGAAUCACUGGGCUUAAAGCGUGUGUAGGCGGGUUCCUAAGUACCUUGUGAAAUCCCCCGGCUCAACCGGGGAACUGCUGGGUAUACUGGGUGCCUUGAGCCAACUAGGGGCUGCCGGAACAAAUGGUAGAGCGGUGAAAUGCGUAGAUAUCGGGAGGAACACCGGUGGCGAAGGCGGUUCUCUGGGCCUGACCUGACGCUGAGGAGCGAAAGCGUGGGGAGCGAACAGG
rnacentral:rRNA from 1 species